rnacentral:rRNA from 1 species
GGGCUUGCUCGGGAGAGUAAAGCGGCGAACGGGUGCGUAACACGUGGGCAACCUGCCCUCGGGUUGGGGAUAAGCCUUUGAAAGGAGGUCUAAUACCGAAUGACAUCACACCAGGGCAUCCUGGAGUGAUUAAAGAUGGCUUCGGCUAUCUCCUGAGGAUGGGCCCGCGGUACAUUAGCUUGUUGGUAGGGUAAUGGCCUACCAAGGCUGCGAUGUAUAGCCGGCCUGAGAGGGUGACCGGCCACACUGGGACUGAGAUACGGCCCAGACUCCUACGGGAGGCAGCAGUAGGGAAUAUUGCGCAAUGCCCGAAAGGGUGACGCAGCAACGCCGCGUGUGGGAUGAAGCUCCUUGGAGUGUAAACCACUGUCAGUAGGGAAGAAAUGCUAUUGCUCUAAUAUAGUUUUAGUUUGACGGUACCUGCAGAGGAAGCUCCGGCCAACUCCGUGCCAGCAGCCGCGGUAACACGGGGGGAGCAAGCGUUGUUCGGAAUUACUGGGCGUAAAGGGUACGCAGGCGGGAAGACAGGUCAGAUGUGAAAACCUACGGCUUAACCGUGGGCCUGCAUCUGAUACCAUCUUUCUUGAGUAUUGGAGAGGAAAGCGGAACUCCUGGUGUAGCGGUGAAAUGCGUAGAUAUCAGGAGGAACACCGGUGGCGAAGGCGGCUUUCUGGCCAAAUACUGACGCUCAUGUACGAAGGCCGGGGGAGCAAACAGGAUUAGAUACCCUGGUAGUCCCGGCAGUAAACGAUGGGUACUAGGUGUUGGGGGAGUCGACCCCCUCAGUGCCGCAGCUAACGCACUAAGUACCCCGCCUGGGGAGUACGGCCGCAAGGCUGAAACUCAAAGGAAUUGACGGGGCCCCGCACAAGCAGUGGAGCAUGUGGUUUAAUUCGACGCAACGCGAAGAACCUUACCUGGGUUUGAAAUGUUCAGGAAAUCCUCAGAGAUGAGGCCCCUCCGCAAGGGGUCUGUUCACAGGUGCUGCAUGGCUGUCGUCAGCUCGUGCCGUGGGUGUUGGGUUAAGUCCCGCAACGAGCGCAACCCCUGCCCCUAGUUGCCAGCGAUUAGGUCGGGAACUCUAGGGGGACUGCCGGUGACAAGCCGGAGGAAGGUGGGGAUGACGUCAAGUCCUCAUGGCCCUUACGUCCAGGGCUACACACGUGCUACAGUGACUGGUACAGAGGGUCGCAAGACCGCGAGGUGGAGCUAAUCCCUAAAACCAGCCUAAGUUCGGAUUGGAGUCUGCAACUCGACUCCAUGAAGCCGGAAUUGCUAGUAAUCGCGAAUCAGCAGGUCGCGGUGAAUACGUUCCCGGGGCUUGUACACACCGCCCGUCAAGCCAUGGAAGCCGGAGGUACCCGAAAUCGCUUUGUUAACCGCAAGGAUGCAAGCGCCU